GGGCUAUAGUUUAUUCAUAAAUAUUUAUUUUGCAUAUAAAAGAAAUCUUAAAAAAUUAGCCUGAC
rnacentral:tRNA from 1 species